rnacentral:rRNA from 1 species
CAGUAGCCACGGUAACACGUAGGGUGCAAGCGUUAAUCGGAAUUACUGGGCGUAAAGCGUGCGCAGGCGGUUUGUUAAGACAGAUGUGAAAUCCCCGGGCUCAACCUGGGAACUGCAUUUGUGACUGGCAAGCUAGAGUGUGGCAGAGGGGGGUGGAAUUCCGCGUGUAGCAGUGAAAUGCGUAGAUAUGCGGAGGAACACCGAUGGCGAAGGCAGCCCCCUGGGCCAACACUGACGCUCAUGCACGAAAGCGUGGGGAGCAAACAGGAUUAGAUACCCGCGUAGUCCCUGUCUCUUAUAC